rnacentral:rRNA from 1 species
GAUGAACGCUGGCGGCGUACCUAAUACAUGCAAGUCGAGCGAACAGACGAGGAGCUUGCUCCUCUGACGUUAGCGGCGGACGGGUGAGUAACACGUGGAUAACCUACCUAUAAGACUGGGAUAACUUCGGGAAACCGGAGCUAAUACCGGGUAAUAUAUUGAACCGCAUGGUUCAAUAGUGAAAGACGGUUUUGCUGUCACUUAUAGAUGGAUCCGCGCCGCAUUAGCUAGUUGGUAAGGUAACGGCUUACCAAGGCAACGAUGCGUAGCCGACCUGAGAGGGUGAUCGGCCACACUGGAACUGAGACACGGUCCAGACUCCUACGGGAGGCAGCAGUAGGGAAUCUUCCGCAAAGGGCGAAAGCCUGACGGAGCAACGCCGCGUGAGUGAUGAAGGUCUUCGGAUCGUAAAACUCUGUUAUUAGGGAAGAACAAAUGUGUAAGUAACUAUGCACGUCUUGACGGUACCUAAUCAGAAAGCCACGGCUAACUACGUG